rnacentral:rRNA from 1 species
UACGUAGGGGGCAAGCGUUGUCCGGAAUCAUUGGGCGUAAAGCGCGUGUAGGCGGCCAGGUAAGUCCGUUCUGAAAGCCCGGGGCUCAACCCCGGGAGGCGGAUGGAUACUGCUUGGCUCGAGUCCGGAAGAGGCGGGUGGAAUUCCCGGUGUAGCGGUGAAAUGCGCAGAUAUCGGGAGGAACACCAAUGGCGAAGGCAGCUCGCUGGGACGGUACUGACGCUGAGACGCGAAAGCGUGGGGAGCAAACAGG